UUUUCUUUCUAUACUGCCGCGGAAAACUCCAUAUGUCUUUCCUUUCUUUCUUUGCUGCCGAAGCUUUUCAAUGGGUAAGAAGAGAUCCAACAAAUGCAUGCAUAAAAAAUACAUGGGUGUUGCUGUUAAUCAAAUAAACGAUCUCAUCUUUCACAUCAAAAACAUUACAGUAUCAACAGGUUUCUCAACGUUGAGAGGGGAGCAACGGUGACAUGUGGAGAAACUUUCUUUCUUCAAAAUAAAUCUUAAUAUGUUCCCCUAAAUGUGGAGAUUAUUUUCAAUUUUAAAAACGAAAAACUCCACAGAGUUUAUACCAAUUAAUUAAAUCAUUCUAAAUAUAGUAGGAUAUUAUGAAUUUUAAAUAUUAAAUCAUGUUAAAUUAACUGUUAUACUAAGUAUCUCCAUAUGAAGAUAUUCUCCAUCGGAAGAAGAAGCAUGAAAGAAGAAGCAUGUGAUGUUAAGAAGAUCUUCCCACUACAAAGUUUCUGAAUAUUAUUUUUAUUUUCAAUUUUGAAAGACAAAAA